UACGGAGGGUGCAAGCGUUGUCCGGAAUUAUUGGGCGUAAAGAGCUCGUAGGCGGCCUGUUACGUCUGCUGUGAAAUCCCGGGGCUUAACCCCGGGCGUGCAGUGGAUACGGGCAGGCUGGAGGCAGGCAGGGGAGAACGGAAUUCCCGGUGUAGCGGUGAAAUGCGCAGAUAUCGGGAGGAACACCGGUGGCGAAGGCGGUUCUCUGGGCCUGUACUGACGCUGAGGAGCGAAAGCGUGGGGAGCGAACAGG
rnacentral:rRNA from 1 species